rnacentral:rRNA from 1 species
UAGGGAAUAUUGCACAAUGGGGAAAGCCCUGAUGCAGCGACGCCGCGUGAAGGAAGAAGUAUCUCGGUAUGUAAACUUCUAUCAGCAGGGAAGACAAUGACGGUACCUGCAAAGGAAGCACCGGCUAACUCCGUGCCAGCAGCCGCGGUAAUACGGAGGGUGCGAGCGUUAAUCGGAAUUACUGGGCGUAAAGCGCUCGUAGGUAGUAUAUCAAGUCAAGGGUGAAAUCCCCGCGCUCAACGUGGGAACUGCCUUUGAAACUGGUAGACUUGAGUGUGUGAGAGGAUAGUGGAAUUCCAGGUGUAGGAGUGAAAUCCGUAGAUAUCUGGAGGAACAUCAGUGGCGAAGGCGACUAUCUGGCACAUAACUGACACUGAGGAGCGAAAGCGUGGGUAGCAAACAGGAUUAGAUACC